rnacentral:lncRNA from 13 species
ACUCUCGAUCGGCAAUGUCCGAUUUUAAAACCAAAUUUCGUCGUUAGUACCACUCUCUUAGUCCUCGUUCCUGUGGCGCUGCAAUCGUUGCGAUAAUCGAUGAAUACCGAAUAUUCCAGAACAACACGUUCGUCCCUCGUUAUCGCUCGUUCUCCCUGACAUUCACCAGCGUUCAUAUCCAAAAUUAGUAAAUAAAGACGAGAUGGCAGCGUUCGAGCCGUGCGCUGUAUCGUCGUUGUCGUCAUCCUCUUCGUCCACGUCCACGUUCACGUCCACGUUCACGUCCACGUCCUCGGCCUCAACGUUUCUGAAAAAGUGCUUGGCAAAAUAAAAUGGAAACGCGUCAUGCAUCUCGUCAUCGUUCGAAGAACCUUAUCGUGUGACCGGCAAGUGACGAGAACUUGUUUCACAAAGUGUGUGUGCAUGAAAAAUUACAGUACUGUCGCUGGUGGACGAUACUUAUUCAAGAACCGCGAAAGGACGGACAGUCGCAUGCAACGGGGAAGGAAAAGAGAGAAUAAUCCGCACUCCGGAGUUCACGCCGUAAGGUACGAAUUCCCGCUAUUUUUAGCUAGUCCACCGCAAUCCGCGGCCGACUAGCAAGUGUAUGUGUGUUAGUAUGUGUGCGUGCGUGCGUGCGUUUUUUUAUGUAUGUAUGUAUGUACGUAUGCGUCUUGCUCAGUGAUCGGCGAUUCCCAUUCAAAGCUUUCUGUCGUGGGCGACCGACAUCCGCGACCAAUUUAUUACACGUAGCGAUCAGGGAGAGGAGAGAAGAGAGAGAGAGAGAGAGAGAAAAAAAUAUUGAAAAAAUGAAACGACGGAACGUUAACGCUACGGAGAGAGGCUAGAAAAUUGUGAUAAACGUGCUGACGCAAAUGUCACUAUCCAAGAAUAAUUAGAAAAUAUCGAAAGAGAAAAAGGAAAUAAAAGGUGAAUACGAAGAACAGUUGGAAAAAUUAUGAGAUAUUGGGAGGUAUUUCAAAGUCAAUCGGUAUACUCGACUGACAUUUCAAACAUAUAAUAAUUUAAACAUUGAUAAAAUUGCUCGAAAUGGAUAGAAAGUACAGAGUCUAAUCAAAAUAACUUGAAAACUGCACACUGUUAUAAAUACGCAUUAAAAUUUAAUGUAAUGCAACAAAAACAAAUCUCAAGCAGGUACGUUAAAAAAAGUUUAUGUUGUCGAAAAACUUGUACUAAAUUUCAUGUAUAUACUUUUCAAUAAUAGAUGCAUUAAGUUUUAUUUGUAUUUGUAUAACUUAAAAGUACAUAAAAUUUUAUGACAUUUUUAAUGCAUAAAGAGCACAACGUUAAGUAUAUCGUACAUUUAGAUAAUCGAGCAAUGUCGAGAAAGGAAAAA